AGCCUCAAGCAGGGAUCUGCGUGCUCACUGUUCUCUUGCCAAGACACGGAGUGGACAGUAACUCGCCUUUACACGGGCGUUGGUAUCAGUUCUUGCUUCGAAGCUGCGAAUAGCGUCGCACUGGAAAGACCGGCGGAGAUCUGGCGCGAGAA
rfam:Tupaia belangeri cont1.071598, whole genome shotgun sequence.